UGAGUGGACUCGAGUCUACAAAUACAAUAUGGUUUUUUGUUUCUGUAGCCUUUGUAACAAAGAGGGAGGAGAAAAAUAAGGGUGAAUCAGGUGAUGCCGUGGUUUUUGAAGUACAAAAAUUAAAAGAAGCUUACACCAAGCAAGAAGUGUAGUGGCUGAAGAAUUCAUGCAAAUAAAGAGUAUUCAAACUUCAUAAACUAUAUCCAAUGGAUCUAUCCACAGGACAGGAUAAACUGUUUAACGGUUUAUAUGAAACACUUGGCUCAUUUCUUUAAGACUUGAACCUUAUAUUUAACAAUGUGCUAAAGAAAGAAUGUAAUCAAACAAGAUCUCAGCCUCAGGAGCAUUGUCUUUUUAAAUGUUCAUUUUGUGGUUGAUCCACCAAUGUUGUCUUAAAUCGGACACUAAGUAAGCCUAAAGAAAGCAAACUGUUACAUUAUUGUUAAGGUCAAUGCCUUCAUCUAUACACGUACAGUACACUUACAUGUAUUAUAAAAAAAUUGUCACCCUGCUACAUGUGUAUAUUUUUUAUGAAAUUUAAAUGUCCAUUUAAAAGAUUUUGCAAAAUAA
rnacentral:misc_RNA from 1 species